rnacentral:rRNA from 1 species
AGUCGAACGAGAAAGGCGGGGCAACUCGCCGAGUAAAGUGGCGCACGGGUCAGUACCACGUAUGUAACCUGCCUUCAGGAGGGGAACAACUUGUCGAAAGACGGGCUAAUGCCCCAUAAGACCACGGAAUCCUUGGAUUCUGCGGUCAAAGGUGGCCUCUACUUGUACGCUAUCACCUGAAGAUGGGCCUGCGCACCAUUAGCUAGUUUGCGGGGUAACGGCCCACCAAGGCUCACAUGGUUAGCUGGUCUGAGAGGACGACCAGCGACACUGGAACUGAGACACGGUCCAGACUCCUACGGGGAGGCAGCAGUGGGGAAUCUUGGACACUGGGCGAAAGCCUGAUCCAGCGACGCCCCGUGAGUUGAUGAAGGCCUUUCGGGGUUUGUAAAGCUCUGUCAGACGGGACAAAAACUGGGCGAGCUAACACGUCGCUCAUUGACGGGUACUGUCCAAGGAAGCACCGGCUAACUCUGUGCCAGCAGCCGCGGUAAUACAGAGGGUGCAAGCGCUGUUCGGGAAUCACUGUGCGUAUAGGGCGCGUAUGCGGUGAGGUAUGUCGGUGUGAAAUCCCUCGGCUUAACUGAGGAAAUGCAUCGGAAACUACCUCGCCUGAGUGCGAGAGAGGGUGGCGGAAUUCCCGGAGUAGAGGUGAAAUUCGUAGAUACUGGGAGGAAUACCUGAGGCGAAAGCGGCCACCUGGUUCGCUACUGACGCUGAGGCGCGAAAGCGUGGGGAGCAAACAGGAUUAGAUACCCUGGUAGUCCACGCUGUAAACGAUGAUAACUAUGCGUUGGAAGAAUUGACCCUUUCGGCGCCGCAGCUAACGCAAUAAGUUAUCCGCCUGGGGAGUACGGUCGCAAGACUAAAAC